rnacentral:lncRNA from 1 species
GGCCGUGGGGGAGGGGCGGCCGGCCGCGGGGGCGCCCCGGGGACCCUCGUGCGCUCCGAGGAGAGCGCGGCCGGGGCUGAGAGCCAGACACCGGCCGGGCGCGUCGUGUCGCUCCCCGCGGCCCUCGCCUAGUUUCACUUUCUCUUUGUUCCCUCCCACGGGGAUCUCUUUGAAGUGAGAGGGGCGGGGGCGUGUCCGGGCCCGCGGCCGCGCCCCUCCCCCCUGCGCGGGGCGGCCCGGGGCGGGGGGGCUCCGGCCGCACCUGUCGGCCGCCCGCGGGGCCAGCUCGCCGGCGUCCCCGCCCCCAGCCCCGCGGCGAGGCCGGGUCCGGGCCCAGGGAGCGCGCGCGGUGGCCGGGCCUGGAGCCGCGCGGGGACGCCAGCCAACUGCUCACCACCCGCUCCGUGGGAGCGCCCUGGAGCCCCGCGCCGCCGGGCAGAGGCCACCCUGCUCUCAGGAGUCCAGAGGCUCUUGGCAGUGAUGCUGCCCCCUGACCGCGCAGCCGGUUGGCCGUGACUUAAUACGACAGCGCUCUCCGCCAUCCGCUCGGCCCAAGUGAGACCAGGGGGUGAGGGUGGGGGUGGGGGGCUCUUCUGGGGUGUCUCCUGUUCUGUAGCUCAGAGUCAUUUUGUACAGUGUGGG